UGGUAUGAAAGAUGACCCUGAAUUCCGCCACUAUCGGGAUAUCAAGGAGCGUCCUCCACAUCGACUGGCAGAGAUCCGCCGCUUCUUUGAGGACUACAAGAAGAACGAGAAUAAAACAGUUGCAGUUGCAGUGAAUGACUUUCUCCCUGCUGAAGAGGCCAUUAAAGCAAUCAAAUACUCCAGGGAUCUAUAUGCAUCAUACAUUGUGGAAAGCUUGAGGCAGUGAAUUUUCCUC